rnacentral:rRNA from 1 species
UACGGAAGGGGCAAGCGUUGUUCGGAAUCAUUGGGCGUAAAGGGCGCGUAGGUGGUUUUGUGUGUCUACCGUGAAAGCAUACAGCUCAACUGUAUUUUGUCGGUAGAAACUGCAGGACUUGAGGCUGGGAGGGGCUGGUGGAAUUCCCUGUGUAGCGGUGAAAUGCGUAGAGAUGGGGGAGAACACUCGUGGCGGAAGGCAGGCCAGCUAGACCAGUUCUGACACUGAGGCGCGACAGCGUGGGGAGCAAACAGG